rnacentral:rRNA from 1 species
CUUCGGGGUGGAUUAGUGGCGAACGGGUGAGUAACACGUGGGCAAUCUGCCCUGCACUCUGGGACAAGCCCUGGAAACGGGGUCUAAUACCGGAUACUGAUCGCCUUGGGCAUCCUUGGUGAUCGAAAGCUCCGGCGGUGCAGGAUGAGCCCGCGGCCUAUCAGCUUGUUGGUGAGGUAAUGGCUCACCAAGGCGACGACGGGUAGCCGGCCUGAGAGGGCGACCGGCCACACUGGGACUGAGACACGGCCCAGACUCCUACGGGAGGCAGCAGUGGGGAAUAUUGCACAAUGGGCGAAAGCCUGAUGCAGCGACGCCGCGUGAGGGAUGACGGCCUUCGGGUUGUAAACCUCUUUCAGCAGGGAAGAAGCGAAAGUGACGGUACCUGCAGAAGAAGCGCCGGCUAACUACGUGCCAGCAGCCGCGGUAAUACGUAGGGCGCGAGCGUUGUCCGGAAUUAUUGGGCGUAAAGAGCUCGUAGGCGGCUUGUCGCGUCGGUUGUGAAAGCCCGGGGCUUAACCCCGGGUCUGCAGUCGAUACGGGCAGGCUAGAGUUCGGUAGGGGAGAUCGGAAUUCCUGGUGUAGCGGUGAAAUGCGCAGAUAUCAUGAGGAACACCGGUGGCGAAGGCGGAUCUCUGGGCCGAUACUGACGCUGAGGAGCGAAAGCGU